CCAGGCCCGUCCACUACCACUCCGCCAUGCUGAAGAACAUUCACAGCUGCUAAAGGUAGGCUGGCAACGAGGGCAUAUCACUCCUG
rnacentral:lncRNA from 1 species